UACAUGGGGUGCAAACGUUGCUCGGAAUUAUUGGGCGUAAAGCGCGCGUAGGCGGUUACUCAAGUCGGAUGUGAAAGCCCUCGGCUUAACUGAGGAAGUGCACCCGAAACUGAGUAGCUAGAGUACUAAAGAGGGUCGCGGAAUUCCCGGUGUAGAGGUGAAAUUCGUAGAUAUCGGGGAGGAACACCGGUGGCGAAGGCGGCGACCUGGGUAGAUACUGACGCUGAGGCGCGAAAGCGUGGGGAGCAAACAGG
rnacentral:rRNA from 1 species